rnacentral:lncRNA from 1 species
CACUGUUGACUAGGGCAUCACCCUCAGUAGAGUCUUACCUUCUAUCUCUUGCUGGUUUUUUCCUCUCUCCUGGAGGCAGCCUGUCCUCAUCUGUGUAUUCCCUGGGACGGAACAGUAGGAGGGUUCAAAGAAGCUACAGCUUGGUGUCUUCUGAAGUGCUGAACAAUAUUGCAUUGUCUGGAAGGACCAGAGUUUAUUUAUCCACUCACUUACCGAAGGACAUUUUGUUGCUUCCCAGUUUUGACAAUUAUGAAUAAAGCUGCUAUAAACACCCACGGGAAGGUUUUUGCGUAGACAUACGUUCCAACUCACUUGGGUAAGUAUCAAGGAGCGUAAUUGCUGGAUCAUAUGGUGAGAGU